rnacentral:rRNA from 1 species
GUCCCAUUAGCUAGUUGGUAUGGUAACGGCAUACCAAGGCAAUGAUGGGUAGGGGUCCUGAGAGGGAGAUCCCCCACACUGGUACUGAGACACGGACCAGACUCCUACGGGAGGCAGCAGUGGGGAAUUUUGGACAAUGGGGGAAACCCUGAUCCAGCCAUCCCGCGUGUGCGAUGAAGGCCUUCGGGUUGUAAAGCACUUUUGGCAGGAAAGAAACGUCGCGGGUUAAUACCUCGCGGAACUGACGGUACCUGCAGAAUAAGCACCGGCUAACUACGUGCCAGCAGCCGCGGUAAUACGUAGGGUGCAAGCGUUAAUCGGAAUUACUGGGCGUAAAGCGUGCGCAGGCGGUUCGGAAAGAAAGAUGUGAAAUCCCAGAGCUUAACUUUGGAACUGCAUUUUUAACUACCGAGCUAGAGUGUGUCAGAGGGAGGUGGAAUUCCGCGUGUAGCAGUGAAAUGCGUAGAUAUGCGGAGGAACACCGAUGGCGAAGGCAGCCUCCUGGGAUAACACUGACGCUCAUGCACGAAAGCGUGGGGAGCAAACAGGAUUAGAUACCCUGGUAGUCCACGCCCUAAACGAUGUCAACUAGCUGUUGGGGCCUUCGGGCCUUGGUAGCGCAGCUAACGCGUGAAGUUGACCGCCUG